GACGAACGCUGGCGGCGUGCCUAAUACAUGCAAGUUGAGCGCUGAAGGUUGGUACUUGUCCCGACUGGAUGAGCAGCGAACGGGUGAGUAACGCGUGGGGAAUCUGCCUUUGAGCGGGGGACAACAUUUGGAAACGAAUGCUAAUACCGCAUAAAAACUUUAAACACAAGUUUUAAGUUUGAAAGAUGCAAUUGCAUCACUCAAAGAUGAUCCCGCGUUGUAUUAGCUAGUUGGUGAGGUAAAGGCUCACCAAGGCGAUGAUACAUAGCCGACCUGAGAGGGUGAUCGGCCACAUUGGGACUGAGAAACGGCCCAAACUCCUACGGGAGGCAGCAGUAGGGAAUCUUCGGAAAUGGACGAAAGUCUGACCGAGCAACGCCGCGUGAGUGAAGAAGGUUUUCGGAUCGUAAAACUCUGUUGGUAGAGAAGAACGUUGGUGAGAGUGGAAAGCUCAUCAAGUGACGGUAACUACACAGAAAGGGACGGCUAACUACGUG
rnacentral:rRNA from 1 species